rnacentral:lncRNA from 1 species
CAUGGGUUAGUCUCAUUUCCAUGAGUUUGCUACCUGGAUUCUGAGGAAGAUAAAUGAAUAUGAAAGCACUUACAAAUUCCGGCUGACAGUUCAGCUAAAAGAUCACUUCCACACCACUUCAAAUCCAAUAAGCCAUGGAUCCUCCUUUCAGCACUGGAAAAUUCUGAGCUUGGCAUAUGAUAAAGAUAGUGAAACUGCAUGAGGAUUAAAAGCUGUAUUUCUCCACCUUAUAAAGCUGAGUAGCACUGGGGGCAAAACUGAGCUGUGUGACAAACACAGACAGAGCAAGAGAAAAAGUGAUAAAGGAGAGCAGAAGAGAUUCACAAAAUUAUAAACACUUGAUGUAACUGAUGAUAGUACUAUAUUAUUACUUUAUGAUCAUACUUAAUCAAGAAUCAAAUUGGAAAAAUCAUAUAUUUUUUACUGUAUCUAAAAAUUAAAUGUAACUUAAAAUCUCCAUGAAGUAAAAUAACAACCUGGUUAAUGUUUCCCUCCUUAUACUGUAUAUCAUUUGUUUAAAAUUCAGGCUGAUAUUUUUUAUUCAAGAAUAUAAUUAAUGGGGGCGCCUGGGUGGCUCAGUGGGUUAAAGCCUCUGCCUUCAGCUCAGGUCAUGAUCCCAGGGUCCUGGGAUUGAGCCCCGCAUCGGGCUCUCUGCUCGGUAGAGAGCCUGCUUCCUCCUCUCUCUCUGCCUGCUUCUC